AAGGCCCUCGAUACUGUAUUCCAGUGGGUAGCGUGUGUGUGUGUGAGAGAGAGAGAGCGAGAGCAUACCUUUCUCAAAUACCUCUAUGCCUUACUUCAUGCAAUCCGAUGAUCAACUGCCGGUGUUAUUCAAGAGUGUAAGCGCAUGAGGUUCUUCGAAAAAAAGUAAGAGAAGAAGAAGCGGAGGAUGCAGGAGGCCGCUAAGCGCAACAAAAUGAGGCGCCCCCAAUUAAGAACUCCACCAGAGACCAAGCCGGAAGCCACAACAAACAAGAAGGAAGAUGACGAGGAUAAUUGGAAUCGGCCUGAAGAGGGAGACAUCCCCUAUUAACUGUAUUCAACGUGCCUUCAAUUUAGAAAACUCUUCACCUUUUGAGUGCAAGAAACUCUUGGUCCAUGUAAAUGGCAUGAAGUGAAUCCUGUUCUUUGACAGAAUGCAUUAUAUCCCUUUUGCAUCGUUGUUUAUGUAUGAGAUUUUCAUUCU